rnacentral:rRNA from 1 species
CUGAGCGGAAUCCAGAGUACAUCGAGACACGAGAAACCUUGAUGGAAAGAGCGGGGACCACCCCGUAAGCCUAAAUACUACUUAGUGACCGAUAGCGCAUAGUACUGUGAAGGAAAGGUGAAAAGGACCCCGGGAGGGGAGUGAAAGAGAACCUGAAACCCUGUGUUUACAAGCUGUGGAAGUUCUUUAAAUGAACAACCGCGUACUUUUUGUAGAACGGUCCGGCGAGUUGCGGAUACUGGCAAGGUUAAGCACUUAAGGUGCGGAGCCGAAGGGAUACCAAGUCUUAACAGGGCGUUAAGUCAGUAUACGCAGACCCGAAACCGGGUGAUCUAUCCAUGUCCAGGUUGAAGUUGUCGUAAAAGACAAUGGAGGACCGAAGCCACAUCCGUUGAAAAGGGUGGGCAUGAGGUGUGGAUAGGGGAGAAAUUCCAAUCGAACCCGGAGAUAGCUGGUUCUCCUCGAAAUAGCUUUAGGGCUAGCCUCGAUUUAGUCUUAUGGAGGUAGAGCACUGAAUUUCCGCGGGGGCGUCAAAGCUUACCAAAGAAUAUCAAACUCCGAAUGCCAUGUAGAUGAUGAUCGGGAGUCAGACUGCACGAGAUAAGUUGGGCAGUCAAAAGGGAAAGAGCCCAGACCACCGGCUAAGGUCCCAAAGUGCGUGUUAAGUGGAAAAGGAUGUGGGAAUUCGAAGACAACUAGGAUGUUGGCUCAGAAGCAGCCAUACAUUCAAAGAGUGCGUAACAGCUCACUAGUCGAGAGUUCCUGCGCCGAAAAUGUCCGGGGCUGAAACACGACACCGAAGCCGUGGACUCGCAAUGCGAGUGGUAGAGGAGCAUUCUUAAAACCGACGAAGCUGUACCGAAAGGAGCAGUGGAGGGAUAAGAAGAGAGAAUGCCGGAAUGAGUAGCGAGAGAAAGGUGGGAAUCCUUUCGGCCGAAUAUCUAAGGUUUCCAGAGUAAAGCUGAUCUGCUCUGGGUAAGUCGGGGCCUAAGCACAGGUCGCAAGACGUAAGCGAUGGAUAACAGGUUUAGAUUCCUGUACCACGCAUUAUCAGAACUGUAGGGACGCAUGUGGAAAGCACGGGCCGGGAAUGGAAAGACCGGUACAAGCGGGGCAGGUGUACAAUAGGCAAAUCCGUUGUAUAAUCCGAAGACGUGAUGUGGAGCGAAAUAAAGUAGCGAAGCGUGUGAGCCAUGUGCCGAGAAAAGCUGCUAUUGUGUAAUGCGUGCCCGUACCGUAAACCGACACAGGUGGAUGAGGAGAGAAUCCUAAGGCCGACGGAAGAAGCAUUGUUAAGGAAUUCGGCAAAAUGACCCCGUAACUUCGGGAGAAGGGGUGCCUGCGAGAGCAGGCCGCAGAGAAUAGGCUCAAGCAACUGUUUAGCAAAAACACAGGUCUAUGCGAAACCGAAAGGUGAAGUAUAUGGGCUGACGCCUGCCCGGUGCUGGAAGGUUAAGAGGAGAGGUUAGCUUCGGCGAAGCUUUGAAUUUAAGCCCCAGUAAACGGCGGCCGUAACUAUAACGGUCCUAAGGUAGCGAAAUUCCUUGUCGGGUAAGUUCCGACCCGCACGAAAGGCGUAAUGAUUUGAGCACUGUCUCGACAAUGCAUCCGGUGAAAUUGAAGUACCAGUGAAGAUGCUGGUUACCCGCGCCAGGACGGAAAGACCCCAUGGAGCUUUACUCCAGUUUGAUACUGGGAUUCGGUACUGCAUGUACAGGAUAGGUGGGAGACGAAGAAGGAUGGACGCCAGUCUGUCCGGAGUCGCUGUUGGGAUACCACCCCUGUAGUACUGGGUUUCUAACCAGUUGCCAUGAACUGGCAAUGGGACAAUGUCAGGCGGGGAGUUUGACUGGGGCGGUCGCCUCCGAAAGGGUAUCGGAGGCGCUCAAAGGUUCCCUCAGAAUGGUUGGAAACCAUUUGAAGAGUGCAAAGGCAGAAGGGAGCUUGACUGCGACACCGACGGGUGGAGCAGGUACGAAAGUAGGACUUAGUGAUCCGGUGGUAUAAAGUGGGAUUGCCAUCGCUCAACGGAUAAAAGCUACCCUGGGGAUAACAGGCUUAUCACUCCCAAGAGUUCACAUCGACGGAGUGGUUUGGCACCUCGAUGUCGGCUCAUCGCAUCCUGGGGCUGUAGCAGGUCCCAAGGGUUGGGCUGUUCGCCCAUUAAAGCGGUACGCGAGCUGGGUUCAGAACGUCGUGAGACAGUUCGGUCCCUAUCCGGCGCGGGCGGAGGAUAUUUGAGAGGAGCUGUCCUUAGUACGAGAGGACCGGGAUGGACGGACCACUGGUGUAUCUGUUGUCGACCAACGGCAUGGCAGAGUAGCCAAGUCUGGAAGGGAUAAACGCUGAAGGCAUCUAAGCGUGAAGCCCCCCUCAAGAUGAGAUAUCCCUCCUUCGGGAGUAAGACCCCUUGAAGACUACAAGGUAGAUAGGGCAGAGGUGGAAGCAUGGCAACAUGUGGAGCUGACUGUUACUAAUAGGUCGA